rnacentral:rRNA from 1 species
AGCGAACGCUGGCGGCAGGCCUAACACAUGCAAGUCGAACGGAUCCUUCGGGAUUAGUGGCGGACGGGUGAGUAACACGUGGGAACGUGCCCUUUGGUUCGGAACAACUCAGGGAAACUUGAGCUAAUACCGGAUGUGCCCUUCGGGGGAAAGAUUUAUCGCCAUUGGAGCGGCCCGCGUCUGAUUAGCUAGUUGGUGAGGUAACGGCCCACCAAGGCGACGAUCAGUAGCUGGUCUGAGAGGAUGAUCAGCCACACUGGGACUGAGACACGGCCCAGACUCCUACGGGAGGCAGCAGUGGGGAAUCUUGCGCAAUGGGCGAAAGCCUGACGCAGCCAUGCCGCGUGAAUGAUGAAGGUCUUAGGAUUGUAAAAUUCUUUCAGCGGGGACGAUAAUGAUGGUACCCGCAGAAGAAGCUCCGGCUAACUUCGUG